AGGGCACCGCAGUGGAGCUGGAAUGUUAGAUGGGGGCCCCUGCGGUGGGCAGAAUAACGGCCACUGCAAAGAUGCCAAAUCUUAUCCCCAGAGCUUCCGCAGAGAUCCUGCAGAUGUGAUUCGAGUCUUCCAGCAACACCACCUCACUCUGCUUUGCACAAUCACUCCACCUCCCCACAUGUUGCGGAGAUUCUCCUGGCUGUGACACGGGAAACAUCCUCCACCAGGUCUUCUCUCACAGUGUGGCCUCUGCGCACAGGUUAUCCACCUGUAGACCUGGACGGGACCCUCGAGGCUCCCUACUCUGACCAUCUGGUUUUAUAGUUGAGGAACCAGAAGCCGAGGCAGGUAACUUGGUGCAGCCUAAAGGCCUCCAUCCCUCCAGUGCCCACAACUUAGGUGCCCACGACAACAACACUGGCCUACCGCAAAGACCCAGCCCAGAGGAACAAGGUGCCACUGUAUGUCUGAAAAGGGGGCCCUCGGCCUCACUGGGGAGCACCUUCCUCCAUCAGGGUCUCGACGGUGAAGAAGCAGGCUGUUUCCAUCUUCAGGAUACAAGCCAUCUGCGCAUAGGAAGAGGGUCCAGAGGCUCAUCUGGAAUCCCUCCUCACUCACUGGACGGAGGACCUGACCCCGUUCCCAUCAUUGGUUCUGAAUCCAUCAGCCCAGCAAGACAGGUGUCUCCAGCAAGUUCUGUAAAAUACAACCAUAGCCGGGCCUGGAGUCAGCCCCCAAUAAAGGGUUCACCAUGGAGUCAAAGCUUCCUUCACAUUGGGAAGAGCCUGAUGAUGCCGCCUUGGUGCCACCCGUGCAGGCCGUGUUCCACUUCUGUCAUGGGCUGGAGAGAAAAGAGCGACAUGGACCUGUUCAUGAAAGGCUCUUCCCGCAACACCAAGCCUGGGGCCUGCAGGGCCGCCAUGAAGAAAGGUGGCUCCUGCUUGGCAGAGAGAAAAGGGGAGGGAGGGCAGGUGAGUCACCAGCAUUGGGCCCCUCAGCCCAGGCUGCCAAGGCAGCCCAGUGGAACCUGUCCCCAUACAGCAUGUUUUUAGUUUGAAUGGUUUUACAGUGUUGGAGCUGUAACUUUACAAAUUUGCUUUGCCUUCAUAACUCUGUAAGAGCUAUAAGCAAACGUAGCUUUAAUCAGCA
rnacentral:lncRNA from 1 species